UUAGCAUCAUUGUACUAAACGCUAACAUUUGUUCUAAACUGCUUGCGCCAAUGUCAAUGUGUUGUUUUUAAGAACAUUCAACUGAUCCUUGGACACAACAAGAACAAGAUUUUCAUACGAACUGAAUUCGUUGAAAAUGGAGUUUUUAUUUGUUUUAUGCUUUUACUUUGUAGUGGAAAUGAUGAAAGGAUGGUGGAAGAAGCUCUGAUAUUCACGGAACAAAUACUUUAUCACAAGCUUCAAUUCCAGGAUCAGCGCCGACUGCAGUUCCAUCAUUUUGAAAGCACAUCCACAAAUGGAGGACUACCAGUAACUAUGGCCCCGAACGACCGGCUCUCGUGUAGAUAAUUUCGACGAAACAACUUGUGAAUUGAAUACCUUUCUUGGUUGCCAGGGGUGACCACGAAACUCCACAGAAAUGGAAUAAACAAUCUUUAACAUUAUCCGCAAAUGUGUCAUGUAACUGAUACAAAGCGAAGCCGAGAA